AGCAACCCACAGGCAAUGGCUCAAGACUGAGCAGCUGGCCAAAGGGGGCCAGUGAGAGAGUCCUAUCCAGGACUUUUCCCUCGGCAGACACUUUAUACUUGGGUUGCUUGCUACAUUGUUAGGGAAGAUCUUCCUGAAUUGAGAGAGUACUAGAAGCGAAGAGGAGAGGUGGGUAAUCAAGAUCUGAUGCAGCACCUCCUUAGACCUUGGUGUAACUAACCGGGUAGACUUCUCAAGUAUUUAAUAGUGUCUCUAAACUCGAAGAGCCCUGAGAAAACCAAAAGAGUGGCUCCUGAGAUGUUAAAGAGAAACAGGUGUUAACUCCAGAGGAAAGGAGAUUUUAAAAAACAAAAACAAACAAACAAAACAAAAACCCCUUAGGCAGAGAGAGUGAAAGCACUGAGCUCGAAAGGCCCCAUGUUUCUUAUAGACAGCUAGAUGUCAGCAUAACCUUGACACCUCAGCGGAGCACUGGUUAGGGACCGCAUGAAAAUUCCAUUAUUCUCGAGGCUUCAAAGAAUCUGUAACUUCUGGGAAACAAACAAACACAACCGACCUUUUGUUCAUCGUGAAUGACCCUUAAGCCAAUAUUUGCUCAGUCUGGCUCCAGGAUUUGCUUCUGCUCAGCACUUAGACUGAUCAAUUUUCAGAAAUUGUAUGCCUUCUAAAACUUAGAAGUGGAAAGAAGAUAAAAAGUGAAACAACCAGGAUGCUACAUCCUUGCCCACUGAUGGUAACAUGAAAGGGUCAUAUUCUCACCUUUAUGGUUCCCUUCAGGCUAAAGAAAGUACCUCAGGCCCAAGCUCAUGUGCCAUUCCAAAGUCAAUCAACGGUUUCCAGCCAGAGUCUUGAACCCUUGCCUGCCCAGAUGCAGCAGUGAGGUCCUGACUGACUUCCUUGGACCUUCACACUGGCUUUUCACUGAAAUGGCAGCUGUUUGUUGAAAUAUCAUAAAGCAAGUUCAAGAAAUGACUUUAUCUUCCCCAGUAUACUUCAGUGUAUUUCAGUUUCAAUAUGACCUUUCCAUUUAUGUACGUGGCAAUAUGCACCUCUGCCCUUGAAAUUCAUUUUUAAAUUAAAGUUAUAAAAUUUGAAUUACA